rnacentral:rRNA from 1 species
CCCGCCUACGGGAGGCAGCAGUGGGGAAUAUUGGACAAUGGGGGCAACCCUGAUCCAGCCAUGCCGCGUGUGUGAAGAAGGCCCUCGGGUUGUAAAGCACUUUCAGCGAGGAAGAACGCCUAUCGGUUAAUACCCGGUAGGAAAGACAUCACUCGCAGAAGAAGCACCGGCUAACUCCGUGCCAGCAGCCGCGGUAAUACGGAGGGUGCAAGCGUUAAUCGGAAUUACUGGGCGUAAAGCGCGCGUAGGUGGCUUGAUAAGCCGGUUGUGAAAGCCCCGGGCUCAACCUGGGAACGGCAUCCGGAACUGUCAGGCUAGAGUGCAGGAGAGGAAGGUAGAAUUCCCGGUGUAGCGGUGAAAUGCGUAGAGAUCGGGAGGAAUACCAGUGGCGAAGGCGGCCUUCUGGACUGACACUGACACUGAGGUGCGAAAGCGUGGGUAGCAAACAGGAUUAGAUACCCUGGUAGUCCACGCCGUAAACGAUGUNGACCAGCCGUUGGGUGCCUAGAGCACUUUGUGGCGAAGNUAACGCGAUNNUCGACCGCC